rnacentral:rRNA from 1 species
GACAGAGGGUGCAAGCGUUGUCCGGAUUUAUUGGGCGUAAAGCGUCUGUAGGCGGUUUGUUAAGUCUAAAGUCAAAUAGUCAAGCUCAACUUGCUCUCGCUUUAGAUACUGGUGAACUAGAGUAUGUCAGGGGUUAAUGGAAUUCCCGGUGUAGCGGUGAAAUGCGUAGAUAUCGGGAGGAACUCCAGUGGCGAAAGCGAUUAACUGGGGCAUACCUGACGCUGUGAGACGAAAACGUGGGGAGCGAAAAGG